GUUCCAGUGAGUGUGGAAAGAAAAUUUGCAGUGAUUUUGCAGAUUGCACCAAUUUCUUGCCUCGACGCCAGAAAUUAAAAAUCCUGCAAUUUCAGUACCGAAACCUACCCCUCCCCACCUCUCUCCGCCGUUAACCCCCUCGUCUUCGCCUCCCUUCAUCAUUCAUCGCCCGAUCCUGCUGCUACAGUCCUAGAUUAGAAGAAUGGUCCCAAACUUCCCAUCAUCACAUUAUUCUUAUUAGUAACAUCAAGAACGAUAAGACUGAUUAUUAAGAAGAUUUCUGCAUAUUUUACACAUAAGUACUACUGCUUUAUAGAUAAAGUAUAAGGUCAACCAUCGAACAAACUAGCAAGAGUAUUUACUAUUUACAACAAGGCUGCAAAGUAUACAAGUGAAUUAUUAUAACUAUUCAAUUUGAGAAAAAUAACGUGUGACACUGACGUGUAAAAACCUGUGAAAGCACUUUUGUAAGGACGUGUAGUGAAGCAAAGAAGAUCAUGUAUCUAUCCAGUAAACCAAAUCGUCUAACCACAACGGCCAAGACAAGGCUUCAUUCCCACAAGCUGGAUAAUAUUGAACCAAGAAAACGUUCUCCUGAUGGGAAUUCCCAAGGGCCUCCAUCACCGUCGGAAGUAAUUGUAUUUAAUAAUACAAAUCACACUGCAAGUGGAGGACGAAAUAACCAACCUGUGAGAAAUGCACCUGAAGUACCACAAGUCGAAGAGAUUUACCGAUAUUUUCGUGAAUCUUGGGAUAGACGCAUGCACGAAGUUAAUACACAAAAGUUGACUUUGUUGAAAGUCUAGAUGUCACAGAAGAAGAGGCUGGUGUCACCAAUUUUCACCACUGUGUCAUAGUUUGUAAUAAAACCCUUGAAUGUCAUUGACAGUUGAAUAGAAUUGAAAUUAAAAUGGUAAACAUUAGAUUUUGUAUGAUGAAUUGGAUUGGAAAAGACACUGAAAUAAAGAAUACGAAGUUUAGUCUUCACAAUCAU